UUUUAUUCUCAGUUUAGAACCUGCUCUAAAAAAAUUAAGUGCAUAGACGACGACGUACUCCAAGUGGGAAAACGCACUUUUUAAAAAAAUGCACAUACUGAUUUUCAAAUUCUAUAACUAUUUCUCCAUAUAUGUUCAUUCCUUGACGCAUCAAUGCUUGUCCAUCGUCUAGGAUUAACAUGCAAAGAGUUUUGUAAUAUUUUACAUGAUGAUUCAAUAUGGAAAACUAGGAUCAGUCGUGUGUGGCCCAACUCACGGUUUCCAAUUUUACCUCCUGGUUAGCUUCAAUUACUACCAUCUUACUCGCACAGCCAAUCAGUACAUUCUACUAAUUGAAUUAAUUGAGCACAGUUUUAUGAAAAUGCAAACAAUUUCAAAUAUUUAUACACAGAAAAAAAAGGAUUUCUUGGCGCAAACGAAGAUUUAAUUAGCCGAAUGAUGAAUUUACACGUGAUACGAAAGACUUGACAUCUACUUAACUCAUUUUUAUAGGGAUCAAUUUCAUUAAAAUCAACGAUUGCUUCUUCCAAUUUAAAACAUUUUUUUUAUUUCUUACA